GAUGAACGCUAGCGGCAGGCCUAAUACAUGCAAGUCGAACGAUACUUUCCAGCUUGCUGGAGAGGAAAGUGGCGCACGGGUGCGUAACGCGUAUGCAACCUACCUUAAUCAGGGGGAUAGCCCGAAGAAAUUCGGAUUAACAACGCAUAAAAUCCCAGUAUAGCAUUAUACAAUGAUCAAAUAUUUAUAGGAUUAAGAUGGGCAUGCGUGACAUUAGUUAGUUGGCGGGGUAACGGCCCACCAAGACCACGACAUCUAGGGGAUCUGAGAGGAUGACCCCCCACACUGGUACUGAGACACGGACCAGACUCCUACGGGAGGCAGCAGUAAGGAAUAUUGGUCAAUGGAGGCAACUCUGAACCAGCCAUGCCGCGUGCAGGAAGACAGCCCUCUGGGUCGUAAACUGCUUUUAUUCGGGAAUAAACCUAUCUACGUGUAGAUAGCUGAAUGUACCGAAGGAAUAAGGAUCGGCUAACUCCGUGCCAGCCGCCGCAGUAA
rnacentral:rRNA from 1 species